UUGAAGUGCAAAUGUUUUUCUUCUAAGAGAAAUACAAAGAUUCUGGUCGUGCUGCUGGUAUUUUAGAGGUUCUGCACGCUGUACCCUUCAUAUUCCCGAUCAUCAUUCAGCUAUCAGGUUUUUGUCUAGUCGUACUUAGCAGAAUAAAUAUGGCACCUAGCUGCCAUACACACCCCUUGCUGCUGAAGAUGAUGAUUAUGAUUUAUGAUAGUGUUGGUGGGGAAGGCAUGACCCUCAAUUUCGAAUAUAGACCUUGAGCCUUUGAUACAAUCCCUUGGAAAUCCAGCUCCCUCGGAGAUGGAGCCAGCGUGGGGCCAAGGGGGCACUUUCAAGGAUAUAUAUGUAAUUUUACAAAUCUCUAAAAGCCCUUUAAUAUAGCUACACCUCUACCCUAUUGGAUUCUAUUUUAUUGGUUUUGUAGCUUAGCUCAGCAUUGUUGAUGUUAUUCGUUACUUGGAUUUUUCAUAUAGC
rnacentral:misc_RNA from 1 species